GAUGAACGCUGGCGGCAUGCCUAAGACAUGCAAGUCGAACGAGGGGACCCAAGGAUGAUUAUGGAAAGUUGGAGUGCUUGCACAAAGACCGGGAAAUAGUUUGAUCUGGAUUUCCCCUAGUGGCAAACGGGUGAGUAACACGUGGGUUACCUACCUCUAAGUUGGGGAUAACAGUUGGAAACGAUUGCUAAUACCGAAUGUACUCUACGGAGUAAAGGAGCUUUAAAGCUUCGCUUAGAGAUGGGCCUGCGGUGUAUUAGCUAGUUGGUGAGGUAAUGGCCCACCAAGGCUGCGAUACAUAGCCGAACUGAGAGGUUAAUCGGCCACAUUGGGACUGAGGACACGGCCCAAACUCCCUACGGGGAGAACAGGCAGUUAGGAAUAUUCGUCAAU
rnacentral:rRNA from 1 species